CAGUCACCUCUCAGCCUGCCAAGUUCAUACAAAUGGCCACUCAUGUUUGCAUUCAGCAGCACCGGUCACAGCUGCUUGGACGUCUGACAGGCCCGUCUAGAGUUCAGCCACCCUGUCUGUGUUGACAGCUUCUGCUAUUAAGGACACCAGCAGUCCACGGCUUCCCACUGAGCUACUCACUGGUUUAGAGAACACAGUGUCGAGGUCAGGGGUCAUGGCUGGAUGAAGGAUUUUCUUUGCUAAAAGAAACAACAGCGAGAAAAAGAAGAAGAGAAGCACCAGCUCCUUCAGAUACGGUGGAGUAUGAGUAACUUUUAGUGCAUUCGUGUGUGCGUUAAGCCCUAAAAACUGCAAAUUGAGCACAAAAUGUCAACGCUAUAAGCAGGAUACCUUCAAGAAACAACCUUGACAACCAAUGGCACAUUCAUUUCCUAACUAAUACCUGAACUAAAUACCUUAUUCCUCUUGAACUCCAAAGGCUUGUAAAUGAGCUAGCAUUAUGUUUUCUAUGCCAUGUGCCCUAAUCAGUGAAUAAUAGACUCAAAAAAAACGUGAAUAAACAGCAGCGGGUACUUACACUGACAAUGUAGGAGUUUCAUUUGAAAAUGGUUUACCUUCUCCUCUAGCAGUGAAGAAAAGUCAACUUGUAAUUAUUGUGGAAGUGUUUGUUUGAAUCUUAGUCGACAGAGGUAUUUAAGAGUCUGAGCCAAAUCCUCAUGCAGUCUCCCUUGAACCCGACAGAAGACACCGAGACCCCUUUAAUCUUGGCGGUAAUGCACUGACAAGCUCUUCUGACGCACCUUUCAUUUGAAAUGUUUUAAUGUCUCUUCACAUUCUGCUCCUGUCGUCUCCCUCUACUUUGCUUCUUCAGUCUCCUCAUCCCUCUUUCUGGAGGUAGGCGUUGUCAAACAUAUUAAAAAAAGGAAGUUUGAACUAACUUCUGAGGAACAUCAGUCCAGCUUUAAUCAGAAUUUUAGUGCCGCCUUUUUUUUUGGAGAAGUUCAUUUAUUAAAGUGAUGGCAUUUGUAA